AUUUAACCUAAAGGCGCAAUGAAAGUGAAUCGUUCUCCUCCUCUUUCGGGAGGCGCGGAGAACGGAGGGAAGACGGACGGUGAUAAAUACACCCUUAAAAGUGGCCGUUCCGCAUUCCCGGGGCGUCUCGUUCUCAUUGCGAGAAGAGGCGCACCAAGAGCGUACACGCUGGGACCCGAAAGAUGGUGAACUAUGCCUGGUCAGGACGAAGUCAGGGGAAACCCUGAUGGAGGUCCGUAGCGAUUCUGACGUGCAAAUCGAUCGUCGGAACUGGGUAUAGGGGCGAAAGACUAAUCGAACCAUCUAGUAGCUGGUUCCCUCCGAAGUUUCCCUCAGGAUAGCUGGCGCUCGUAGCGCACGAGUCUCAUCCGGUAAAGCGAAUGAUUAGAGGCAUUGGGGUCGAAACGACCUCAACCUAUUCUCAAACUUUAAAUGGGUGAGAUCUCCGGCUUGCUCGAAAACGACGGGGGCGCGCGCGCGCGCGCRCGUAC
rnacentral:rRNA from 1 species